rnacentral:lncRNA from 1 species
AAUCUCAUCGAGCAAAAUUAAUUUGUUUUCUUAAUUGUCCCGUAAUUUGAACAAAAUAAUAUGUUGAAAGUAUUCUUUGGAUUCAUAAAUGGUUUUUACGAUAUUUUAAAAAAACACCCAUACCAACAAUAAAUAGAGUGAUUAUGUUAAAAAUUAAAAUCUCUUUAUUAGAAAUUUUAAAAUUUGUUAGAAAAUUAACAUUUCAUGUGCUAGGGAUGAAUUUCAAAUAAAAUGAUUAAAGAAAUAUGAAUAUCAUAAUUCUAUAUCUAUUUCAAAUGAAUGGUUAGGACAUGACGUACAAAAUAAAUUUUCUUCAAUAUUUUUUUCUUUGCUCUUAAUUUACAAAUAAUUUCAAAAGGUAGUGACCAUUGUGACGUUAGAGACAUUAAUCAACUUAUGCUUUAAAGUAUUAAAAACAUUUAAACAUUCAUUUGCUAAAGUGGAAAGGAAUACUUUUUACAAAUAAAUUAGGAAAAGUUUUUUCUAUUUCAAAAUUUAUUUAAUAAUUGUUCUAUAAAAACCUUUUUGUCCCAAAACAAAUCUACUGCGUUUUUCAAUGAUGGGAGGAGCAAAUUUUCUAACUACUUUAAUUUUUUAUUGGUCAACCUCAAUAUAUUUGGGAUGGAUUCGAUCAUCUAAAACAAUUUUCUUUGUCAUCAUAACCUAUGAUUUGUCAAAACUAGAAUAAAUAAUACCCAUUCAAAACGUAUUAUGGUACCACUAGAUUUUGUCAUCUUGAAAUAAAAUUUUAUGCAUUCAAAACGUGGUGAUGACACAUCUUGACACCCUAUCCCACUAUAUAUUUCAAGGGUUUUCUUUAAUAAUUCAAUUAUGUUUGUGAAGUUGCAUGUUGUAUGUCUAUCUCAUGGAUAAAAAGUUUUAAUUUUAUUUUUUUUAUCUUUUGAUUUUUAUUUAUAUUGUUAUUGAGUCUCCUCUAUGAUUGCACGUCUCAUGGUUGAUUUUUAAAUCUGUUUUAAGCAUGCAUGAUGACACUAUGUGAUCAUGAAUUUUUUUAAAGCAUUUACGUAUAUUUUUGAUGUUUUUUAGUAUUUUGUGUUUACGUUUUAUGAAGAAAUAGGAAGAAAAUGACAAAGUGAAGAACAAAAACAGAAAGAUGAAAAAGUGGAGAAAUUGUAAAGAAAAUAGCUUUUUCAGCACAAUUUACAUCAUGAAAUUUGUCAAAUAAUUUGAUCAUAUUUAGAGUUUCAUAAUUACGUUUGAGAUGUAACAUUUUUCAAAUGAAAGCUAACAAAAAGAUCCACUUUCUAGCAAAAUCGUGUGUGUGGCAGGUGUCAUUGUAUGCACAAAAACAAGCAUCUCAUGCACGAUGCUGACAAGGUGAAGAAUUCACAUGUGCGAUCAAAAGUAAAGUGUUCGUGACUCAUGCCUUUUUGACAAGUUUUUUGCUUCAAAUAAAAUGGAAAAACGCAUAGAAAAAAUGGGUGGAAAUUCUUGGUACAAUAUUUUGAUGGCGAACCAAAUUCUGGAUUGAAGAUUUUCAUUAUUAGAAGGCAAAUUCUAAACAGAUAUUCAUGUAUAGUUUCAUUAUUACUUCUGAUUGCUAUUAGUAUGAAUACUUUUUUUUAUUAGGUCUUAUUAGAUAAACCUAUUUUUAUCUAUUGAGACAUAUGACUAAUUUUGUAUUAUCUGCAUAAAUUGAUAUUGCAGUUUCUAUUUUGUUACUCUUCUAUGUAAUGUCUUUUGUGUGUUGAGAACUCAUGAAUUAAACAUUCGGUUUGCAGUGAUUAGUGACCCAAACUCUAUAAACCUGAACUAGAGUAAUUUUUCAACU